GAUCCUACGGGAGGCAGCAGUAGGGAAUCUUCCACAAUGGACGAAAGUCUGAUGGAGCAACGCCGCGUGAGUGAAGAAGGGUUUCGGCUCGUAAAGCUCUGUUGGUAGUGAAGAAAGAUAGAGGUAGUAACUGGCCUUUAUUUGACGGUAAUUACUUAGAAAGUCACGGCUAACUACGUUCCAGCAGCCGCGGUAAUACGUAUGUGGCAAUCGUUUUCCUGAUUUAUUGGGCGUUAAGCGAGUGCCGGCGGUUCUA
rnacentral:rRNA from 1 species